UGGGGAAUAUUGCACAAUGGGCGCAAGCCUGAUGCAGCCAUGCCGCGUGUAUGAAGAAGGCCUUCGGGUUGUAAAGUACUUUCAGCGGGGAGGAAGGGAGUAAAGUUAAUACCUUUGCUCAUUGACGUUACCCGCAGAAGAAGCACCGGCUAACUCCGUGCCAGCAGCCGCGGUAAUACGGAGGGUGCAAGCGUUAAUCGGAAUUACUGGGCGUAAAGCGCACGCAGGCGGUUUGUUAAGUCAGAUGUGAAAUCCCCGGGCUCAACCUGUGAACUGCAUCUGUUACUGGCAAGCUUGAGUCUCGUAGAGGGGGGUAGAAUUCCAGGUGUAGCGGUCAAGUGCGUAGAGAUCUGGAGGAAUACCGGUAGCGAAGGCGGCCCCCUAAACGAAGACUGACUCUCAGGUGCGAAAGCGUGGGGAGCAAACAGG
rnacentral:rRNA from 1 species